UGGGGAAUUUUGGACAAUGGGCGCAAGCCUGAUCCAGCAAUGCCGCGUGCAGGAUGAAGGCCUUCGGGUUGUAAACUGCUUUUGUACGGAACGAAAAAGCUCUCUCUAAUACAGGGGGUGAAUGACGGUACCGUAAGAAUAAGCACCGGCUAACUACGUGCCAGCAGCCGCGGUAAUACGUAGGGUGCAAGCGUUAAUCGGAAUUACUGGGCGUAAAGCGUGCGCAGGCGGUUUUGUAAGACAGAGGUGAAAUCCCCGGGCUCAACCUGGGAACUGCCUUUGUGACUGCAAAGCUGGAGUGCGGCAGAGGGGGAUGGAAUUCCGCGUGUAGCAGUGAAAUGCGUAGAUAUGCGGAGGAACACCGAUGGCGAAGGCGAUCCCCUGGGCCUGCACUGACGCUCAUGCACGAAAGCGUGGGGAGCAAACA
rnacentral:rRNA from 1 species